GGGGCAACCCUGAUCCANCCAUUCCGCGUGAGUGAAGAAGGCCUUCGGGUNNUAAAGCUUUUUCGCAAGGGAAGAAACGAUACGGACGAAUAAUCCGUGUUAANGACGGUACCUUGNUAAGAAGCACCGGNCUAACUACGUGCCAGCAGCCGCGGUAAUACGUAGGGUGCGAGCGUUAAUCGGAAUUANUGGGCGUAAAGCGUGNGCAGGCGGUUUUGUAAGUCAGAUGUGAAAUCCCCGAGCUCAACUUGGGAACUGCGUUNGAAACUACAAGGCUAGAGUAUGGUNGAGGGGGGUAGAAUUCCACGUGUAGCAGUGAAAUGCGUAGAGAUGUGGAGGAAUACCNAUGGCGAAGGCAGCCCCCUGGACUAAUACUGACGCUCAUGCACGAAAGCGUGGGGAGCAAACAGGAUUAGAUACCCUGGUAGUCCAUCGCCCUNAACGAUGUCUACUNGUUGUUGGGAGAGUAAAAUCUNUNAGUAACG
rnacentral:rRNA from 1 species